rnacentral:rRNA from 1 species
UACGGAGGAUCCAAGCGUUAUCCGGAAUCAUUGGGUUUAAAGGGUCCGUAGGUUGAUAAUUAAGUCAGAGGUGAAAUCCUGCCGCUUAACGGUAGAAUUGCCUUUGAUACUGGUUAUCUUGAAUUAUUAUGAAGUAGUUAGAAUAUGUAGUGUAGCGGUGAAAUGCAUAGAUAUUACAUAGAAUACCAAUUGCGAAGGCA